ensembl:lncRNA
CAGGGAGAGAAGAAACACCAGGUCGAAUAGAGAGAGGAGAAGCACGUGGAGGACAAGGAGGCCCUCUGGGAACUACUAUGAAAAGGAGACUCGCACUGGAAGCAUGGGAGCGAACCCCACAUAUGUAGAUAGGGACGGCUAUUUCUAAGGUGGAGUCGGGCACGUGCAGCUGGGAGAGUUUGUCCUGCAGCAGAGACGGGAUGAUGGUGUUGAAGGCAGAGCUGAAGUCCACAAACAGGAUCCUGGCGUAGGUUCCUGGGGAGUCCAGAUGCUGAGGAUGUAGUGGAGGGCCAUGUUGACAGCAUCGUCCACAGACCUGUUGGCUCUGUAGGCGAACUGCAGGGGGUCCAGGAGGGGGUCGGUGAGGGACUUCAGGUGGGUCAGGACUAGCCGUUCAAAAGACUUCAUGACUACAGAGAUCAGGGCGACAGGCCUGUAGUCAUUGAGUCCUGUGAUCCUGGGCUUCUUGGGGACAGGGAUGAUGGUGGAUGCCUUGAAGCAGGCUGGUACGUGGCAUGUCUCCAGGGAGGUGUUGAAGAUGUCAGUGAACACCGGAGACAGCUGGUCAGCACAAUGCUUCAGGGAGUGAGGGGAGACGGAG